AAUCAACGCUGGCGGCGUGCCUCAGACAUGCAAGUCGAACGCGAAAGUUCCCUUCGGGGAGCGAGUAGAGUGGCGCACGGGUGAGUAACACGUAGGUAAUUUACCUUCGGGUGGGGAAUAACAGCCGGAAACGGCUGCUAAUACCGCAUAAUGCAGCGGCUCGACAUCGAGACAGUUGUUAAAGCGGGGGAUCGCAAGACCUCGCGCCUGAAGAGAAGCCUGCGGCAGAUUAGCUAGUUGGUGGGGUAAUGGCUCACCAAGGCGACGAUCUGUAGCCGGCCUGAGAGGGCGGUCGGCCACACUGACACUGACAUACGGGUCAGACUCCUACGGGAGGCAGCAGUCGGGAAUUUUGGGCAAUGGGCGAAAGCCUGACCCAGCAACGCCGCGUGA
rnacentral:rRNA from 1 species